AAGACCAGUGCUGGGCCUGGAUGCCACAGGGUAUAAAUCUGCAAAGAAGUAAAAAGCUAACAUUUUCAAAGAAUAUUGCUUCUCUCUCACUUACCUGCUUUACAUCUCCCUGUAUGGCCCCGGAAGAUGGCUGGUUAGCCAGAGACAGGCAACAACCCCCCAUGGGAGCUGGACUCAGGCAGAAAAGCAAAAUCAACCCAACCAGUACAAGUCCAUCUUAAAGACCCUUAUUUCUUCCCUCAUAAAAGGCAGUAUCCCUUAAAACCAGAAGCUCAUGAAGGUUUAAAGCCAAUUAUUAACGACUUAAGGGCUCAAGGCCUCUUAAUAUCCUGUAACAGCCCUUGCAAUACUCCCAUAUUAGGAGUACAAAAGUGGCACCUUGUACAAGACCUGCGAGCCAUUAAUGAGGCAGUUGUGCUCCGACGUCCUUUAGUACCUAAUCCCUAUACCCUAUUAUCCAGAAUUCCUGAGGGAGCAGCAUGGUUCAUUGUGCUAGACCUAAAAGAUGCUUUCUUUUGUAUCCUUCUUGCACCUGAGUCCCAAAUUCUCUUUGCUUUUGAAGAUCCUAUAAAUCCCUCAGCCCAAUUAACCUGGACAGUCUUGUCCCAAGGAUAUAGAGAUAGCCUACAUCUAUUUGGGCAAAUCUUAACUAAAGACCCAGCUUACUUUAAUUCAGGGGAAGCAGAAACCAUCCAAUAUGUGGACGAUAUACUGCUCUGUGCCAUCACUAAAGCAUAGCGUCAGGAAGGUACUCAGAAAUUACUAAACUUUCUAGCUGAUUGUGACUAUAAAGUAUCCCAAAAGCACAGAUCUGUGAGCAGCAAGUAAAAUAUUUGAGCCUUAACCUCUCUCAGGGAACCAGAGCCCUGGGAGAAGAGAGAAUAUAACCCAUUCUCUGCCACCCAUUACCCUCUACUAUCAGACAACUGUGGGGACUUUUGUGCAUCACUGGAUAUUGCAGAAUUCGGGUCCCCAGAUAUGGAGAGUUAGCCAAACCCCUCUACCAAGUCCUUAAAGAAGCCCCAAAGGAAGGCACCAUAAAACUCCAGUGGGAACCUGAUGCCAUUAAAGCUUAUGAAGCUUUGAAGAAAGCCCUACUUCAGGCCCCACCUUAAGCCUGCCCACCAGAAACCGGUUUAACCUGUUCCUUACUGAGGAAUCGGGAGUGGCACUGGGAAUACUGACUCAACCUCUGAGGAGAAAUGCAGCAGCCCAUAGCCUAUCUAAGGAAAGAGCUGGACCCAGUAGCUAAGGGCUGGCCACACUGUGUGAGGUCUGUGGCAGCCGUAGCCCUGCUAGUACCUGAAGCCACAAAGCUGACCCUGGGGAAAGAUUUAAUAGUGCAUGCACCCCAUAACACCACCAGCUUAUUGAACACCGGGUGGGGUGGGGCUGUGGCUGUCAGAUAGCAGGCUACUAAAAUAUCAGUCGCUUCUCCUUGAGGGCCCUGUCACCCAGCUUCGGACAUGCUCCACCCUGAAUCCAGCUACCUUUCUACCUGAAUCCAUGAGUAAAGGACCUGAGCAUGACUGCCAGCAGGUCCUUGCCCUAAACUAUUCUGCCAGAGAAGACCUAAAAGACACCCCCUUAGAGAGCCCAGAGUUUGUCCUCUUCACAGAUGGCAGCUCCUUUACUGAACAAGGCCAGUGGAAAGCUGGCUAUGCAGUUGUCACUCUCUGGGAUACUACCGAGUGCCAACCACUUCCACCAGGCAUGAGUGCCCAGCUGGCAGAAUUAAUAGCCCUCACUCGGGCCCUUGAAAUAGGAAAAGGAAAAAGAGUCAAUAUAUAUACUGACUCUAUGUAUGCCUACCUAGUGCUGCAUGCCCAUGCAGCCAUAUGGAAAGAAAGAAACUUUAAAUUCUGAAGGUUCCCCUAUCAAAUACCAUAAUGAAAUUAGCCAGCUAAUACAAGCUGUGCAUUUGCUUAAAGAAGUAGCAGUUAUUCAGUGCAGAGGCCACCAGAAAGGAAUAGAUGAAAUAACAGAAGGAAACAGGCAAGCUGAUACAAAAGCCAAAGAGGCAGCUCGAGAAACUUAUAAGGCACCUAUCCAAGCCCUCUCUUAUGGACAGGUGUGCCGGCUAAUAUUAUCCCCAGCUAAAGUAAAAAGGAGCUGCAAGAUGGUCUCUCCAAAGGCGGUUCUCUCCUUCCCUCUGGUUGGCUUCAGACAGAAGAUGAGGAAGUUUAUUUACCUCAGAGUACAGAAUGGAAAGUUCUUAAAACUUGACACCAGACUUUCCAUUUAGGUAUAGAAAAUACCUAUCAGAUGGCCAAAAGUAUUUUUUGCAGGCAGUAGUCUAUUAAAGACAAUAGAGCAAAUCACUAAAGCCUGUGAGAUCUGUCAAAGAAAUAACCGACUAAAUAAAAAAGCCGCUCCUCCUGGAUUACAGCGGGCAGGCAGAUACCCAGGAGAAGACUGGCAAAUAGAUUUCCAGAUAUUCCAAAGGCAAAAGGACUCCAGGAUCUCCUCGUGUGGAUAGAUACAUUCACAGGAUGGGUCGAGGCCUUCCCCUGUAGAGCUGAACAAGCAAAAGAAGUAGUAAAGGUCCUCUUACAUGAAAUUGUUCCCCGAUUUGGGAUGCCCCAAGGAUUACAAAGUGACAAUGGCCUGGCAUUUAAAGCAGCCUGUCACUCAAGUGGUGUCCCGGGCCCUUGGUAUUCAGUAUAAUUCACACUGUGCCUGGAGGCCACAAUCCUCAGGCAAAGUGGAAAAGACUAAUAACAUCAUAAAAUGACGUUUAAGGAAACUGUCACAAGAAAUUUACUUGCCCUGGCCUGACCUACUACCAUUAGCCAUAAUAUGAAUAAGAAACACUCCCAAAAUUCCGGGGUUAAGCCCCAUUGAAAUGCUCUGUGGAAGACCUUUCUUAAAGAAUAAUUUAAUCAUGGACAGAGAAGUCACAGAAAUAAUCCAGUAUGUGACACACCUUGCUAAAUUCCAGGCACUCCUUCAAAAUCUAUCUGAAGGACAAAAUAGAACCCCUGGUGUACCCCUCUUUGAACCAGGAGAUCAAGUCCUAAUUAAGUCAAUUCCUACUAAUUCUCCAACUCUUAAUCCAGUCUGGGAAGGGCCCCACACUGUUAUACUCUCUUCUCCUACUGCUGUCAAGGUCACAGGUAUCGAAGCCUGGAUUCACCACUCCAGAGUAAAGGCCUGGAAAAGCUCUUCCCAAGACCUCCCAGACAACACAGAUAAAGAAGAACCCAUUGCACAGAGCACUAAAGCUCAAGAACCUGAAUAUGCCUGCAAACCUUUAAAAGACUUGAAUCUACUAUUCAAAAAGAAAAAAACCCGAACAAAAGAUGCUUAAGAUAAGCA